rnacentral:rRNA from 1 species
UACGUAGGGUGCGAGCGUUAAUCGGAAUUACUGGGCGUAAAGUGUGCGCAGGCGGCCGCGCAAGUCGAGUGUGAAAUCCCCGAGCUUAACUUGGGAAUUGCGCUCGAAACUACGUGGCUGGAGUGUGGCAGAGGAAGGUGGAAUUCCACGUGUAGCGGUGAAAUGCGUAGAGAUGUGGAGGAACACCGAUGGCGAAGGCAGCCCCCUGGGUCAACACUGACGCUCAUGCACGAAAGCGUGGGGAGCAAACAGG